UUUCCGUAGGCGAACCUGCGGAAGGAUCAUUCAUAAUAGAGUGUUUUAUGGCACUUUUUAAAAAUCCAUAUCCACCUUGUGUGCAAUGUUAGAUCUCGUCAAUCUUGGCGAGAUUUUUAUACAUCAACUCAUUCUUUAACUAAUUUGUCUGAAAAAUAUUAUGAAUACUUAAUUCAAAAUACAACUUUCAACAACGGAUCUCUUGGCUCUC
rnacentral:misc_RNA from 1 species